rnacentral:rRNA from 1 species
AUUGAACGCUGGCGGCAGGCUUAACACAUGCAUGUCGAGCGGGGAGAUGUAGCUUGCUACAUUUCCUAGCGGCGGACGGGUGAGUAAUGCUUAGGAAUCUGCCUAUUAGUGGGGGACAACAUUCCGAAAGGAAUGCUAAUACCGCAUACGCCCUACGGGGGAAAGCAGGGGAUCUUCGGACCUUGCGCUAAUAGAUGAGCCUAAGUCAGAUUAGCUAGUUGGUGGGGUAAAGGCCUACCAAGGCGACGAUCUGUAGCGGGUCUGAGAGGAUGAUCCGCCACACUGGGACUGAGACACGGCCCAGACUCCUACGGGAGGCAGCAGUGGGGAAUAUUGGACAAUGGGCGCAAGCCUGAUCCAGCCAUGCCGCGUGUGUGAAGAAGGCCUUUUGGUUGUAAAGCACUUUAAGCGAGGAGGAGGCUACUUGGAUUAAUACUCUAGGAUAGUGGACGUUACUCGCAGAAUAAGCACCGGCUAACUCUGUGCCAGCAGCCGCAGUAA